rnacentral:rRNA from 1 species
UACGGAGGGGGCUAGCGUUGUUCGGAAUUACUGGGCGUAAAGCGCACGUAGGCGGCGUAGUCAGUCAGAGGUGAAAGCCCUCGGCUCAACCGAGGAACUGCCUUUGAUACUGGUAUGCUUGAGUUCGGAAGAGGGUAGUGGAAUUCCAAGUGUAGAGGUGAAAUUCGUAGAUAUUUGGAAGAACACCAGUGGCGAAGGCGACUACCUGGUCCGAUACUGACGCUGAGGCGCGAAAGCGUGGGGAGCAAACAGG